UACGUAGGGUGCGAGCGUUAAUCGGAUUUACUGGGCGUGAAGCGUGCGCAGGCGGCCCGUUAAGACAGGUGUGAAAUCCCUGGGCUCAACCUAGGAAUUGCGCUUGUGACUGGCGGGCUCGAGUACGGUAGAGGGGGGUGGAAUUCCUGGUGUAGCAGUGAAAUGCGUAGAGAUCAGGAGGAACACCGAUGGCGAAGGCAGCCCCCUGGGCCUGUACUGACGCUCAUGCACGCAAGCGUGGGGAGCAAACAGG
rnacentral:rRNA from 1 species